CCUGGUGACCAUAGCAAGUUGGCCCCACUCCUUCCCAUCCCGAACAGGAACGUGAAACAACUUUGCGCCGAUGAUA
rnacentral:rRNA from 1 species